UCGAACGAAAAAUCGCCAAAAUUGAUUCGGGCCACUGGUGAAAUAAAAGCAACGAUGACAAGUGCACAUUGAAGGGAAUUAAAGAUGGUUUCAAUAGUCGAUCAGCGAUCAUAACGAAUAACAAAGAACGAGCCCCCUCCUAUGUGUAGAACGACAGAGUGUUGACUGUAAGACGGAAGGAUCGAGCGGAGGCAGUACGCGAUAGGUAGCUGGCCGAUCGGGUACCGGAUCCAAAGAUAUUUUUCUGCGACACGGCGUGGACGGGCCGCAAAGGUGAAGGCGAUCGCAGGCGGUUUCCCGGGUGUUUACGAUCUGGAAACUGACGCACGAAUCCGCGAGGGAAGCGCGGACGAGGCCGCACAGAGAGAUCCGGCAUUCCUGGAAAUUAUCACCUCCGGGAUUUGCGAUCGUGACGCCUGACAACGACUGGUUUCGAACAGUCGAAGCGGAGGUCGCGAGUUUUCGGCCGUUCAAGGCCGUCUGACAAUCAAAGUCGUAACCCUUCAGUGUUAGGGACACUUGGGUUCUCGUGCACUCGAUAAGUGAUAUUAUUUUUAUUAUAUUGUAUGUAUAAACACGUUCAAUGACUUUAUAUUUAAUCGAUUAUACAGUGGCUAUUGAAAGUAUCUGCACAUAUUGUUAUUUUGCUAUGAAGCUUCUUUUCACUAGGUGUAACAUUUCGUUUUCAUAGUAUCAAAUGUUUGUAGUCGUAUGAAAGACACGUAGGAAAAAUGUAAGUACCUGGCAAUUACUAAAUAAUUACGGUAUAGUCUGAUUUAUUCGAAAUAAUAGGGAGACGAAAUCGUUGGAACAACGAAAUUUUUGGAUAGUAGAAUUAAGCAUUUUUCUGAUAUAAAAUUUCAUUUAAUUCAAAUACGUUCUUUUUGUGUUUCGAAGCGUCGAAGCCUUUUUCCGAAUGCCACAAACGCUUCAGCCGAGAAGUUACUUCAUUACCACUUUCAUUUGCUGUUGCCAUUUCUGUAAAAUCGUCGUUAUUAUCGUCUUUAUCGCGAUGAGAUCAUUUCAUUACAUCAAGAUAUUUAAAGUUUCUCUACUGUUGCCAGCAGCAGAGAAAUGUACGUGCUAAUAUUCAGUAUCGUGUUUUUUAUUGACUGUGAUUAUAGCUUUUUCGACGUUAUAUAUUUUUGCUACUUCUAUUGCACUUACGUCAUUUUCGAGAAUUUUAAUUACGCUAUACUUUGUUUCGAUAGUUAGAACGCUAUUAGUUUUAUAACAAAUUCUUAUAACCAAAAUUCAUAAUACUUUCUUCAAAUUAGAAGAUCAUGUAAUUCGACGUUUUCGAAAAUUCAAGUGUAUUUUGACUUUUUAUGAAUAAAUAUCCGAGUUUGAUGAAAAAAGGUACCAAAUUAAUUUAUGCAGGCCUUUUUUGGCACAAUUAUACUACUACUUAAUUACCGGUGGAACCACGCGAGGCACAAGUUACCAGUAUUAUUGAAUUCUCUUACCAAAUAAAUUUAAUAAUAAAAUAACUUAUAUCUUACAAAUGAAUUUUACAGAUUACCAGUCAUUUUAUUGUUCUAUGUGACGAAACUGCAAAAUUAUAAAAGAGAAAUCUAUAAUCUAUAACUUCUAACUUAUCAGUUCACUAAUAUUAUUUAAUAAAAUAUCGUGCAAUCAUCAACCAUAGUCAAAAUUGAGGUCCCCCUUACAAUUAUGCUGACUCUGUAUAAUUUCCUUGUUAUUGUACUUGUUACUAUCAAAUAUUAUACUGUUAAAUUCUUUCUAUUUUGUUUGUAUAGUUUUGUUGCACAAUUGUUUGUAUAAUUCUGAUAAUUGGUUUCAUUAAUUAUAUAGGAAGGAGAGACAGAAGAGAAGACAGAAGUUAGGAUUACGAGAAUGUACAAACACGUUUGAAAGGAAAGUAAAAGUAAAAAUUAUAAGUACCAUGGACAACGAACGACCUCGAAUGCCCGAAAUUUCCGGCCUCUAUACUAUCGCGAUACGGUUCUCAGCGAUUUCUUUCGUUGAUACAGCCCGAACCUUGAGACUUUACAUGACGAAAUAAACGAAUUUAGUCUCUGGGCGUGUUAAUGGCUGUACUUUCAAGCGAUCGUUUAUUAAUCCCCUGUUCAUUAUGGCAAAGGACUGAUAACUCAUGCAUUUAUGUUGCAACGAAUGUAACAAAAUACGCCUGAGAUGAUAUUUGUACUCGCCGCUUUCCUAUCGGACUCUAUUAAUUAAAUACUGCGAUUCAAGCAGGACGAGACGUUGCUUCUUGAACGUUUCGGAGAAUGAAGACAAUUUAAAAAAAAAAAGAGAGAGAAAGGGAAAUAUUCGACGAAAUAAAAUAAUAAAAGUGGGAGACAAAACUGUUACGGAGGUGUUACCGUGAUUAUGUAAUAACGUUUGGGAUCUUCCAAGACUGUAUAAUAAUAAUUAAUCAGUUAGCUGUUUCUGACGAAUAUACUCGUCACGAAGAAAUGGCGAUAUUUCGUGCCAUGACAAGGCCUGUCAGUAAGAAAAUUAAAAAAUAAAACGUCAUUUCAUUACAACUUAAUUCUAUGUUAUAACAUUCCACACGUAUCCUGUGCUUGACGAGUAUACUCGUCACGCUUACUUUUUGCAACACAUUUUACAUCGUAACAGCUAACUGGUUAAGGAUUACGCUGCCAAUCGAGUUGAUAUCAUUCUCAAUUUAUAAAAUAAGACAUUAAACAUUGCAGUACAAAGAUCUUCACACAGCAAAUACUUCGCAUUAUAAAUUUUACACAACUCUAACACAAUUUUUCGUAAAAAAAUUUUUCACAACAAAAUUCUCAUAUGUAGAUAACAUAUUCAUAAAAAAUAAUAUUUUGCUAUACCUAUGUAUAAGUCGAUAGUUCUAGCGUUAAUAGAAACUCGCAUCUUCAUACUUUAGGAUUUCCGUGAAAUAUAAUUGCGAUGGCGACACCGGAAGAGUAUCCCCGUACGUAGUUUCUCAAAUAUUUCAGCGAUACCGUUCCGCAAUAAAUCAACAGGAGGUUCAUCUUCCACCGCGGGUUUAGCGAGAAAGAUUAAUGCGAGCUUGAAAGAUCGGCUGUUCAAUCGGAGAUAAACCGAUAGGGACGACUACCGACGCUUGAAUAAUUUCCUCGACUCGCAGCGGAAAGAAGAGAAUCGUGAUAAUCGGUACGUUGAACCGCGCCGUGUGUGUCUUCCUUUUAGGAAACUUGUAAAUCCUGUAUCGGCCGUGCACGUCGUUCCCGGCCAACGAGAACGAGAACUAUCGCGGAUCGAUCCUCUUUCAUUCGUUUCAUUAUACGUAUGCAUAAUACGUGUAUUAAAUAUUAGAAAAUUCGUAAAUAAAACCAUAAACGUAAUCGUAAUUCGAUCGUGGAUUUAUCUCUUCAGAGAAAUACAGAUAUCUGAAUGUUCAAUAUUCUUUGAUGAAUUUCUUAAUGAAAAUAUCCAAAAGUAUUUUAUUUUGAUAAUAAAAAAGGUUUAAAUAUUUGUCGAAAGGAAAAAAUAAACGAGGAGAUCAAAUCAAUCGUAAUUCAAUCGUGGAUUUAGGUACUCAAUAGCUAUUAGAUAUUCAAAAUGGAAGUAUCUAAAUGUUUCAUAUUCCUUGAUGGAUUCCACGAUGACAAUGUGUAAAUAUAUUUUAUUUCGAUAACACGAAGUAAAAUCAAACCAAAUAUUGAAUUUGAAAAAUAUGAUAAGCUCAGUGGUAUCGUGAGUUCUUCUGUCGAUAGAAAACCACGCUUGUAUUUCACAGGGUGUACCCCACGAUACCGGUAUUUUUUCGUCAUCGUUAUCGUUAGCCUUUGGAACUCAAUACACCCACGUGUUCACCUUUUUUUCACGUUCGUCAGGAACGCGUAGGUGAGAAUCGUGGUGCGAGCGAUAGCGAACGAUAUUAUUGCUUCAGCCGUUUCAUUUUAUAAUAAUCGGCUAAAACGAGCGCAACGUGCCCGGCAGCUCGGUCAUAAAUUUCGUUUAGCCUCCUUUCCAUAAAACAGACUAGCGGCAAAGCUUCGUGAAUGCAUAGAAUAAAAUGCUGUCUACUCUUCGUAUUCUGAAACAUCCCUCUGGUUCAUCAUAAAUAAUUUUAUUGAUAAUUGUAUAGACCGCGGAUACUUAUACAUUUAUGGGAAAUAUAAAAAUGCAAAAAUGAACAGGUUGCAUAAAUAUGAAAAUCACAGGAGCGAAAUGCGAUAAUUAUAUUUUUGUCCGUCUUUGUACUUUAAUGCCACGUUCUGAUUAAACAACAGGACUUCGGAUUCAAUAAUUUUUCGAUUAUUCUCGCAAGAGACUGGCGCAGCAUAUGUUUUAGCUCUAAAGAAAACACAUAAAAAGACAAUAUGUACAUAUAACGUCGAUCGAUCGAGGAAGUAACAGAUUUAAAAAUUGCUUUUUUGGUUUACUAGUUUUAUCGCUUUAGUUACGUUCAUAAAAAUAUCAGUUUGCAUGAACGUUCUGUUAACGAUCGUGAAAAUUUCCAUAUACUUGCGGACAUCGAGAUUAUCUUUUUUAGUAUUCGAUGUUUUUUAAUAUCUCAAAAAUUCGAAUAUUUCUAUCGGAAGACAAGCGGAGGAUGAAUUUCUAAAAUUCGUUCGCUCUCCCAACUGCAAUCAUUUUAUAAUAUUUCGUGGACAUUAAAAUGUACAAUUCGCUUUUCAAUUAUUGUUCCAUUGUCAUCGUGCAUUUCGUUCAAAAAACGAUGAACGUGCUAUUGUCACGAAAGGUGUUUCGUAUGGAAAGAGAAAAAUCGUAUAUGUCGUUCGAUAAACCAGGAAUCAAUCGAACAGCUGUUAGAAACGGUCGUCCAAAGUCUCCGAAAUGUCCAGACCUAGAGCGAGACGCCUCGAGUCACGUAACAGCCUACAUUUUAUUUCACUGCACUUUUACUUUGCGACUGUACACGCGGUUCGGCCUUGCUGCGACCUGAAUACCUCGGUUCGCCAUCGUUGGAAUCCUUCGUGUUGCUGCUCGAUUUCGAUUUAUUAGGAGAGUACGUCUUCCGCGAUGUGGCAAUCACAAAAACGAAAAUUCCUCGCCAGACGCUCGAAACUUAAGCUAAAUUAAAAAAAAAAUGUUAAAGAAAGCGGUAAGAGGAAACGAUGAAAUAUUUCAACGAAAGUGAAAAGAUUUUUCUACGAAAAAAUGAAUUUCCGAGGACGAAACGAUUAUCAUGAUUAAUGGCAAAGAUGUUGAGCGUAACAUUUGCAACAACUUAGUGUAGAACAUCAAGAUGGUGUGUCAGAAUGCAUUCUCAGAGACGUGAAUUAAUUUCGUGCUACUGUUCCGCUGUAGCCGAGUGACGUUUGUAGUUUAACACGUAUUGAUGAAACCAUAAAGUAAUUAGUAUAGUCAACCCUUUCGUGAUUAAUAACAAGAACAAUACGUACGCUAUGAGUAUACCCCGGAUGUCUAUAUAUUUUUAUACUUUUAUCAACGUAACUGAAAAAACUUAGUUCCAAAUAUAAAUUUGUCUCAUUCGCCAGAUAUACUCUAUUUUGUACAUGUUAUAUAUUUUUGCUUGUUAUAUGCAUUCUCUGGAUCUCUGCGCUCUUAAAUUUCCCAAAAAUGACUUUUAUAAAAAUACCUGGAUUAUUACACUUUUUUUCUGUCACCAUAGAAACCUGCUGAGACAUGUAGUAAGUAACGCACCUAUUAUAAAUAAAAUAUUACAAUAGUGCAUCAUCGUAGAAGAAGAAACUUGUUACAAUAUUACGUACAAAGAAUGGAAUUUCCACAAGCCGAUAUUUUUUUACAAAUCUACUGCAUAAAGGUUCGUUUAAAUUUAUCGCGUAUUUUAUCAGUUCUGCGACAUGAAUCUUCGCGUUGAUCGUUAUUGCCCCUUAUUAGAUCUAAUUAGUACUUCACCACCCACAUUCCCGUUUAUUUUACAAGAUAAUUUAUACCACGAUGCAACGGGCUCGUACUGGAAUGUAAUUAUAUGAAGUAUGCAUUAACAUUACUAUGCGAAACGUUCGAUCAAGCUUCGCAUACCACAAUUAAUUCAGAUAAUGAGGAUUUCGCUGCGCAGGAACAGUUCGUACAUUCAGACCAAAAUGUAACAUCGAUUUAAUACGCCAAAUAUAGCGACGAGAAGCCUCUACGUUGUUUUAUCAUUUUUGUUAUAUCGUUUACACAACUUUAUGAAGCACGAUAACACCGGAAUCACCAGAUGCGAUUUAGCUUCAUUCGCGAGAUUAAGCAUUUCGAUGAAGCGUUACAUACUCGUUUAACUAUCGCUUGAGUUUCCCACGUUGUUCCUUAGAAAACGGUAGAAACAGUGGAAAAACAGGCUUUCUCAAAGUUGUACUGUGCACGCUCGAGAUAACAUUUGUACGAUUUCUAAGAGAAGAUCUUUGUAAUCUCGUGAAACGAUAAUUAAGAAGAGGUCUCUAGAUUUCAGAGCGCACCAAAUAAUCCAGAACACUCGUACGAUUUAGCUAAGUCUAACUCUGUCCAAAUCCUUUCGAGAAUUUACUAAGACUAUAAAAAACUCGCCAAGCUAUAAAAUAUAAUAUUUAUAAUUAUUUAUAAUCAUUAUUUAGCUUCGAAUGACACCCGGUUACAUUUUCCUUUACAUUUUGCGUUUUACUUUUUAUCCAAUCGAUCUUACAACCUAAUUGUCACAUAGCAGAGAAUAUGAUAAAUUGAUUUCUUCGAAGAUAGGCAAGAAACCGCGGUCACAUGAAAACUUCACACGCCAUUGCGUACUAAUCUACGAAAAAAAGAAGAAGAGAAGAAAAAAAAAGAGAAAAGAACUAGCUCAAUCGGGUUUUGCUUCGAGCGAAACUCUCGCAAGCCCAGACGAUCGACUCGCGAAAUUCAAUAUCAUGCAAAUGGAACAUCCCGUUGCCGAAGUUUCCGCGGAAAAUCUGUUCCUGUCCGCGAUGCUCGGCCACUCCCUGUUUAUAUUAGUCGCGCGUGCGUCUGCGUUAGAGACGCGCUUUGCAUACGGCCGUAGAAACGGAUAAAGGACGACUCCGUGGUCAGGUAGCUCGCGAGAUGCAGCCGAGGAAUCGAGUUCAAGGACCUUGCUUUUCCGGAAUAGAAUGCGAGCCGCGCGUACUGUUUAUGUGUAUUACCAAGCGGCUGGAUGCGCAGCUCUUAACGGCUCCAGUCUACAGUCUGUACUCAGGAAAUGCAUUUUCGAAGAAUGUUUCUUCUUGGCACGACGUAAGGACGAAAGGAUGGGGAUCCUUUCCUCUUGUCGAGAUUCGCAAGCUUUACGAGCGCGGGUAAUUGAAAGCGUUAUUCUUGAAAGGAUUUGGACACGUUGCGGUUUACUAUAUUUUGUAUUACUUUCUCGUACGUUUGGCGGCCAAUGGUUUCAGCUUUCAGAAAAAGUUUGGUUGAUUUAAA